CACGUAGGGCGCAAGCGUUGUCCGGAAUUAUUGGGCGUAAAGAGCUCGUAGGCGGUCUGUUGCGUCCGCUGUGAAAACCCGGGGCUUAACCCUGGGCUGGCAGUGGAUACGGACAGACUAGAGGUAGGUAGGGGAGAAUGGAAUUCCCGGUGUAGCGGUGAAAUGCGCAGAUAUCGGGAGGAACACCGGUGCGAAGGCGGUUCUCUGGGCCUUACCUGACGCUGAGGAGCGAAAGCGUGGGGAGCGAACAGGAUUAGAU
rnacentral:rRNA from 1 species